CUCAUGAAUAUAGAUGCAAAAAUCUUAAGCAAAAUAUUAGCAAACUAUAUCCAGCAAUAAAUAGAAAAGAUUAUACAUCAUGACCA